rnacentral:sRNA from 1 species
AAGGAGACUGAAUCAUAUAUGGGGGAAACCACUUCUCAGGCAGCCAGCUGGUUCUCAGGUCAGCAAGAGACGAUCCAUUUUUAUCGGAAGCUUUAUAGUAGCAAUAAUGCUAAUACCCAGCACUCGGGCUCCACAAUGUAGAGGAAAUGGCAUCGCCUGGCAGUGACAGCUAUAUUGUGCGUGUCAAGGCUGUGGUUAUGACCAGAGAUGACUCCAGCGGGGGAUGGUUCCCACAGGAAGGAGGCGGGAUCAGUCGCGUCGGGGUCUGUAAGGUCAUGCACCCCGAAGGCAAUGGACGAAGCGGCUUUCUCAUCCAUGGUGAACGACAGAAAGACAAACUGGUGGUAUUGGAAUGCUAUGUGAGAAAGGACUUGGUCUACACCAAAGCCAAUCCAACGUUUCAUCAUUGGAAGGUCGAUAAUAGGAAGUUUGGACUUACUUUCCAAAGCCCUGCUGAUGCCCGAGCCUUUGACAGGGGAGUAAGGAAAGCAAUCGAAGACCUUAUAGAAGAAGUAGAGAAUGGAUUCUGGCGGGCCCAGAAGGCUCCUGGCCUACCCACUGUCCUCCUGUAAUCAGAGGCCCAGGGUGUACGGCUGCCACUGAAAAGGAAAGGGAUCUGUGACCUCUGGAGCCCUGGUUCGGUUUAGGCCUUGGUCUAUGGGUUCAACAACAUCAUCUUCCACCAUCCAUAAUGAAGCUGAGCUUGGCGAUGAUGACGUUUUUACAACAGCUACAGACAGUUCUUCUAAUUCCUCUCAGAAGAGAGAGCAACCUACUCGGACAGUCUCCUCUCCCACAUCCUGUGAGCACCGGAGGAUUUAUACCCUUGGCCACCUCCACGACUCAUACCCCACGGACCACUAUCACCUCGAUCAG